rnacentral:rRNA from 1 species
AUUGAACGCUGGCGGCAGGCCUAACACAUGCAAGUCGAGCGAGCGGCGGACGGGUGAGUAAUGUCUGGGACACUGCCUGAUGGAGGGGGAUAACUACUGGAAACGGUAGCUAAUACCGCAUACCAUCAGAUGUGCCCAGAUUGGAUUAGCUAGUAGGUGGGGUAACGGCUCACCUAGUCGACGAUCACUACCUGGUGUGCGAGGAUGACCAGCCACACUGGAACUGAGACACGGACCAGACGCCUACGGGAGGAAGCAAUGGGGAAUAUUGCACAAUGGGCGAAAGCCUGAUGCAGCCAUGCCGCGUGUAUGAAGAAGGCCUUCGGGUGGUAAAGUACUUUCAGCGGGGAGGCGUUACCCGCAGAAGAAGCACCGGCUAACUCCGUGCCAGCAGCCGCGGUAAAUC